rnacentral:tRNA from 1 species
GCUCAGUGGUUAAGAGCACUGGCUGCUCUUCCAGAGAACCUGGGUUCAAUUCCCAG